rnacentral:rRNA from 1 species
UACGUAGGGUGCGAGCGUUAAUCGGAAUUACUGGGCGUAAAGCGUGCGCAGGCGGUUUUGUAAGCCAGAUGUGAAAUCCCCGGGCUUAACCUGGGAAUGGCAUUUGGGACUGCAAGGCUUGAGUGCGGCAGAGGAGACUGGAAUUCCUGGUGUAGCAGUGAAAUGCGUAGAUAUCAGGAGGAAUACCGAUGGCGAAGGCAGGUCUCUGGGCUGACACUGACGCUCAUGCACGAAAGCGUGGGGAGCAGACAGG